AGGAGGGCUUUAGCGCCCCCUCAGGACGAACGGCUCGAGAUAGAAACUGGAUCUAAUAAGUUUCUUAUCCAAAGCUGACG
rnacentral:ncRNA from 1 species